rnacentral:ncRNA from 1 species
AUGUUGUAUGAAAGGAGAGAAGGUUAGCACUCCUUUUGAUAAGAAUGGAAGAGGUCCUAUUGACCUUUACAACACACGCACGGUUAAGGCAUUGCCACUUACUUCAUGGCUUCUAACCAAGUUUUUUA